AUGGGACAAGGACCUCCUUCCAGGGCUCACUCAACCUCCCAAAUCCCAUGGCUUUUUCUAGAUUGGACGGGGAUCCCAGUCCCCAGAGGGGAGGGGUCAGCAGACAGACCACACCCCCAUGGCUCCAUCAGGGCCCCUCCUUGGGACACUUGCUCAGGAGUGUCCGAAAGUGUUUCAGCCCAGGAGCAGGUGGGAGGGGAAUUGCUGGGCGAUGUCAGGCUGGGAGACCAGGGGACAGCCCAAGGCAGGUGGGCCACCAAGGAGAUCUGGGAGGAGCUCAGACUGCGGACCAGGACUCUGGUUCCUCCAGAGCAGCACUGAGUCUGAGGCAUACGUGACGCCGUUGAGCUGCAGCUGGUAGCACAGCUUCAUGACACCUCUGUGCAACGGAGAAAACUGGAGGUGCGGAGGGCGUCCCUGGAGCCACCCUGCGCUGGCUCAGAUCACCUCUGGAAUCAACUCUGCGGUGAGAGAGGAGCAGGAGGGAAGGAGCAGCGGCUGCCAGGAGCUGCGGCCCUGGGCCACUUCUCUCAGGAGUGCCCACUGCCUCCCGGCCUCCCCUCUGCUGAUGCAGCCCAGGCUUGAUCAUUUUGUGGGGACACCCCAUCCAGGCACCCUUCGGCCUGGGCUGGGGGGGACGUCCCUCCCUAACUGUGAUCUGUGAAACUCGCCCCUUUGUCUGGAGCCACCACCCCCAGAGUCGCACAGACAUCUGGACCCCAACAUUCCAAAGUCUGAACCUUUCGAAUGGAAACCGGUGUGUUUCCUCUGACUCUGGGUCUCUGCUCUUCACCCCUGGACCACCAUUCCUGUGCACCAGGAACCCAGAGGCAAGGUCCAAACAAAACUUGUCCCUAAGGGAGUAUCGUGACGGAGACUUUCUGUGGAAGGACUGACUUGGGUUUUCCUCUCCCUACUUGCAAUGACACUCUUUAGAGGAUUCAGUUUUCUGUCUCACUUUUUCCCUUUUUAAUAUCAUAUUGCAAGGCGACCUGGCAAGAGUGGCAUGAGAGCCGCUGGACCCCGGGUGAGCGGGUAGUGCUGGCGAGGCAGGAGACGGGUUUCUGACAGGCAGAUAGAAAGGGGGACCUCGAGAAUGGGGUCCGCCACCCCAGACUAAAACCCCAAGCUAAUGGUGCUGGACUGAAGGUCCCCUGGCACAUUGUGCCAGUACUUGCUGCGGUUGCCCCUGGCUUCCUUGGCCACCCUAACACUAGUCCACCCCAAGGAGCUGUUUUGGACCCAAGCAGUGCUUGUGUUUUAAGGAACAAGUACCAGACAAACUCAGGUUAACAAACACGUGAAACCAUCCGUCAUGGGAACGAGAGACUAAAAUCAUAUGCCUUCGUUGGAGUCAGAGAAAGAGGACCCUCAGGGGACUUUCCAGUGAGAGGUUAAUUCCCCAGCGAAACAGGACAAAAGUCCCUAGACAGAGGGCCACCAGCAGUGGCCUCUUUGGGACUCCUCCUUUGCUCUGGGAGCUUUCCUUGCUGGCUUCUAACAAAUCUGCUGCUGAAUUCUCACCCUCUGUCGCCUGCACACUUUAUUCCUUGGGUGUAUGAGACAAGAACCCUCCAGCGCUCACAACACCCUGGGUGACCCUGGGGCUUGAACCCAGGGCCGUGUGCAUGCUAGGCAGGUGCCCUUCCACUGAGCUGCGGCUCUACUGGAUUCUUCUGGAUACGUGGACAGAAUUGCUACUACCCCACCGGAAGGCCGCUGGGGCAUGCUUGGGCCAGAGCCCCACACCACGAGGACAUUAUGAUUGAGUUAAGUGGAUGCCAGUCCUGACAGCUGCUUAGGAAGCUCAGAGGAGACCCAGCUCUGUCCUUCUGGGCGUUCCAACAGUGCCCUAGGCAAAUGCAACUUGGCUGACCAUCCAACCCUCAGAAACCGUGUCUGGACCCAGAAUUCAGGGUGCUGGUCCUUAAGGCACAGACCACAGGUGCAACUGAGGCCACUUCCUAUGGCCGUGUGGCCAGCACCGACCUCCUGAAGACACGGCCCUCUGCACCAGUAACCAGACCCCUGCUAGCGUGCGGUGUGCUCAUUAACAAGGCCACUGAUGUCAUCAGUGGAAACCUGGUUUUGACAUCUCCUGUGCCCAUUAGGAAGGUUUCAGGUGGAUUCAGAUGCAGUGCUGAAGGGCUGGCACCAGCCUUGGGUAAGUGGCUGGUCAGCCCCACAUCAGGUGAUUGGCACCCUGCCGCCCUCAGGGUGAGGGAUAAAACCAAACCCAAUCGCAGCUCGAGCUUUCUAUCGCUUGGGACUUUCCGCCUUAGCUCUAGAGCCCCCACGCUCUGGGAAACCCCCCAGCCCUGGGCAGUCAGGGCUGAAGUAUUUCAACACGAUUUUAGAAAGUCAUUCUUAACAGCAAAUUAAGAACCUUGGCCUUGAAGCGCUAAAAGAACAGGUAUGCUGGAAAUGACGUGGCAGAAUUACUUUAAGAGCAAUUUGCCUUCAGUCUCACGUUGGUAUAUAUCAUGUUUGUUCACGGGAAACAAUGUCGUUCCCGUCUUGUUUGGAGUUUUUCCUCCACGAAGCACAAAUGGCAGAAGUGUGUAAGUCUGGACAAUAAUGUUUAUAAAGGUACUUUGUAGCUGCCUGCAAACAUCAUCUUAAUCGUUCAGCCACCUCGAGUCUGUGGCUGAGCUUGAGAAAGGACUUCGAGAAGACCCCGCAGCCCUGUUGAAGCUGUCCUGGGACAGGAGCCACAGGAAGUGGGGGAGCCGCAAGGGGGGCUUCAUCGAGUCUGAGGCUCGAAAAGCAGAGAACUGUGCGAUCUGGUUCCAGUUCCCUCUCCUAAGGCCUUGGGAAAGUCCCUGUCAGUGACUGUCCUCCUACACACCACCUCCCUGCCUGGGUCACCAGGGCGACAGGGCCCUAGGGCACUUUCCCUCCCUGAGUCCCUGCCCACCUCUCCUCUCAGGCCCUUCACCUACCUGAUCUGUGGAGCAGCCCCUGCGGCCUCUGGGACAGGCUUGUCCCUGUUCUGCUCUCUUCUCUGAGGCUGGGCCCUAUUUCCUGGGUACAGGGCCGGUGCUUUGGAAGCCCCCUGAUGGAUCUGCUGCUGAGUGAACUCCCAGGGCACCGAGUGCACGCCCCACCUUCUUCCUGGCUUGGUGGGAGGGCCUAGGGUGGCUUAGCUUCCUCAGGCUCAGACCACCUUCUGUCCUUCCCUCUGUCCCUGGCUGGGCACAGCAGGGGCCCCGUGAUGAAGAUCAGGACCAGGAGACCGCAAAGGGAAAGAGAAAGUGAUUCCAGAGAGGGGAGGGUGUGGGCCUGGCGGAUGACCGUAAGGAGACAGGGAAGUAAUGGGAAUUGCUACAGCUGUGUGCUACGGAGUAGUAAUAAGCUGUAUUUGGAAGUUGCCUGAGCUUGUAAAGCAAGUGGAACAAGCUGAUAAGACCCAGGCAAGGCAGACGCCGGACCAGUGUGGAUAUGAACCUCUAUCUACGAGAACAGAGCGUGACUAGGCUGAAAAUCACUACUUCAGUCCCUGCACCUCUGUAGCAAACGGUCAGCAGCACCGCGACCAGAGGACUCCACGUCACUCUGUCACUUGACUACCCCGGCUGCCGUCCACACCAUCACCAUCGCCCAUCGACCAUUGUCACUGAGCCUGGAUGACUGACCACCGCUCCAGUGAUGACAACCUGCCAUCCCGAACAUCCAGCCUCAUGGGACACCCGAGGACACCCGAGGACACCGAGGAGCUGAGAGAGGCUGCGGCUGGGAAGAAUCCCUGUCUAUUGACUGACGUCUUGGCUAAGAGACGUAGCAUUGAUUGUUUUUAAGAGCCGGUGACAGGGCCACAGCCCGUGGAAGAUUCCAGAAUGAGCUGGGCCAUUCCAGGAGAGGAGAUCAGAUCUGCACAAUAGGGCGUUUGUCAACAUCAAACAGCUGAGCUUCCCCCUGGAUUUGCUGCCGGACCCAGGAACUUUGACUUGGUGACUUGGUAGGACUAGUCUGUCAGGUGGGCCCCUUAACUCCGAGGCCGGCAGAGGGAGGCGUGGUAGAUGGAUAUGGAAACUUGACAAACCCCCAAAUAGUGUGUCCUGGGGAGAGGGAGCAAGGCGGAAGGCAACACCUCCACAACAUUGAUCCUUUCCCAGGACAUUCUCUCCCUGGGGAGGAGAUACCGUCGAGGCUGGAAUGAUGGUCUCUGGGAGGAGGCCAAGGCAUUGAUCCUUCCCAAAACAAAUCCUUCCCCAGAUACUGACUGCUGACCCCAGGCCUCCAUCUGGCCCAGUAAAAACAGAUCCCAAAUUCCUGAAUGCCCAAACUGACACGCUCUGUCUUUAAUCAAGUCACCUCUCAGUGUAAGUGACGUAAGCACAGGCUCCCGCUUUGCUCAGUGACUCCUUUUCCACCAGGAAAGUGGGUCCAUCAGAGGCACAACUCCAUUGCUGAAUAAAGGCUCUGCUGAU